rnacentral:rRNA from 1 species
UACGUAGGGGGCAAGCGUUAUCCGGAUUUACUGGGUGUAAAGGGAGCGCAGACGGCAGUGCAAGUCUGGAGUGAAAGCCCGGGGCCCAACCCCGGGACUGCUCUGGAAACUGUACGGCUAGAGUACGGGAGGGGCAGGCGGAAUUCCUAGUGUAGCGGUGAAAUGCGUAGAUAUUAGGAGGAACACCGGCGGCGAAGGCGGCCUGCUGGACCGAAACUGACGUUGAGGCUCGAAAGCGUGGGUAGCAAACAGG